AUACGGAGGGUGCGAGCGUUAAUCGGAAUUACUGGGCGUAAAGCGCGCGUAGGCGGUUUGGUCAGUCGGAUGUGAAAGCCCUAGGCUCAACCUGGGAAUGGCAUUCGAUACUGCCUGACUAGAGUAUGGUAGAGGGAAGUGGAAUUUCCGGUGUAGCGGUGAAAUGCGUAGAUAUCGGAAGGAACACCAGUGGCGAAGGCGACUUCCUGGGCCAAUACUGACGCUGAGGUGCGAAAGCGUGGGGAGCAAACAGGAGUAGAUACCCCAGUAGUCC
rnacentral:rRNA from 1 species